GCUGUCGCCGGUGCUACCAUGGCGGCUAAGAAGCUUCUAAUCCUUUCGAUCCUCGCCUCGGUCCUCCUCAUCGGCGUCCGCGGUGACGCUGGUGCCGCCGCCGACGAGAUCCUUAAUCCUCCGCUGCCGCUACAGGCGGCCGCUGAUGAGUCCGGUUCCGCGCUCAGUAUCGAGGUGGAGCAUCUCAGAUCCAGGAUCUUGUCUCUAG
rnacentral:misc_RNA from 1 species